rnacentral:rRNA from 1 species
CCUGGCUCAGGACGAACGCUGGCGGCGUGCCUAAUACAUGCAAGUCGAACGCUUCUUUUUCCACCGGAGCUUGCUCCACCGGAAAAAGAGGAGUGGCGAACGGGUGAGUAACACGUGGGUAACCUGCCCAUCAGAAGGGGAUAACACUUGGAAACAGGUGCUAAUACCGUAUAACAAUCAAAACCGCAUGGUUUUGAUUUGAAAGGCGCUUUCGGGUGUCGCUGAUGGAUGGACCCGCGGUGCAUUAGCUAGUUGGUGAGGUAACGGCUCACCAAGGCCACGAUGCAUAGCCGACCUGAGAGGGUGAUCGGCCACAUUGGGACUGAGACACGGCCCAAACUCCUACGGGAGGCAGCAGUAGGGAAUCUUCGGCAAUGGACGAAAGUCUGACCGAGCAACGCCGCGUGAGUGAAGAAGGUUUUCGGAUCGUAAAACUCUGUUGUUAGAGAAGAACAAGGAUGAGAGUAACUGUUCAUCCCUUGACGGUAUCUAACCAGAAAGCCACGGCUAACUACGUGCCAGCAGCCGCGGUAAUACGUAGGUGGCAAGCGUUGUCCGGAUUUAUUGGGCGUAAAGCGAGCGCAGGCGGUUUCUUAAGUCUGAUGUGAAAGCCCCCGGCUCAACCGGGGAGGGUCAUUGGAAACUGGGAGACUUGAGUGCAGAAGAGGAGAGUGGAAUUCCAUGUGUAGCGGUGAAAUGCGUAGAUAUAUGGAGGAACACCAGUGGCGAAGGCGGCUCUCUGGUCUGUAACUGACG